rnacentral:rRNA from 1 species
GACGAACGCUGGCGGCGUGCCUAAUACAUGCAAGUAGAACGCACAGUUUAUACCGUAGCUUGCUACACCAUAAACUGUGAGUUGCGAACGGGUGAGUAACGCGUAGGUAACCUGCCUGGUAGCGGGGGAUAACUAUUGGAAACGAUAGCUAAUACCGCAUAAUAUUGAUUAUUGCAUGAUAAUUGAUUGAAAGAUGCUAUUGCAUCACUACCAGAUGGACCUGCGUUGUAUUAGCUAGUAGGUGAGGUAACGGCUCACCUAGGCGACGAUACAUAGCCGACCUGAGAGGGUGAUCGGCCACACUGGGACUGAGACACGGCCCAGAAUCCUACGGGAGGCAGCAGUAGGGAAUCUUCGGCAAUGGACGAAAGUCUGACCGAGCAACGCCGCGUGAGUGAAGAAGGUUUUCGGAUCGUAAAGCUCUGUUGUAAGAGAAGAACGGGUGUGAGAGUGGAAAGUUCACACUGUGACGGUAUCUUAACAGAAAGGGACGGCUAACUACGUG